rnacentral:rRNA from 1 species
ACUGAACGCUGGCGGCAUGCUUUACACAUGCAAGUCGAACGGCAGCGACGGGUGCUUGCACCUGGUGGCGAGUGGCGAACGGUGAGUAAUGCAUCGGAACGUCGCCCAUGAGGUGGGGAUACGCCCGGACGAAAGCCGGAUUAAUACCGCAUACGCCCGUUAGGGGAAAGCGGGGGAUCUUCGGACCUCGCGCUAUUGGAGCGGCCGAUGUCGGAUUAGCUAGUAGGUGAGGUAAAGGCUCACCUAGGCGACGAUCCGUAGCUGGUCUGAGAGGAUGAUCAGCCACACUGGGACUGAGACACGGCCCAGACUCCUACGGGAGGCAGCAGUGGGGAAUUUUGGACAAUGGGCGCAAGCCUGAUCCAGCCAUGCCGCGUGAGUGAAGAAGGCCUUCGGGUUGUAAAGCUCUUUCAGGUGGAAAGAAAUAGCGCUGUUUAAUAGAUGGCGUUGAUGACGGUACCACCAGAAGAAGCACCGGCUAACUACGUG